GACAGAGGGUGCAAACGUUGUUCGGAUUUACUGGGCGUAAAGCGCGUGUAGGCGGCUUGGCAAGUCGGAUGUGAAAGCCCACGGCUCAACCGUGGAAGCGCAUCCGAAGCGGCCUCGCUCGAGUCUCGGAGAGGAAGGUGGAAUGCUUGGUGUAGAGGUGAAAUUCGUAGAUAUCAAGCAGAACACCUGCGGCGAAGGCGGCCUUCUGGACGAUGACUGACGCUGAGACGCGAAAGCGUGGGGAGCAAACAGG
rnacentral:rRNA from 1 species